rnacentral:tRNA from 1 species
GGAGGGGUGGCAGAGCGGUCGAAUGCACCGGUCUUGAAAACCGGAGACGGGUGACCCCCGUCCGCGGGUUCGAAUCCCGCCCCCUCCG